rnacentral:tRNA from 1 species
GGGAUUAUAACUUAAUGGUAAAGUGUUUGGUCGAUAACCAAAAGAUAAUGGUUCGAUUCCAUUUAGUCCUA